AUAUGAACAUGUAUUUUAUUAUUAUAUAAAUUUUAUUUAUAUAUAGUUCUAUGAUUGUUGUUAAGAAGAAUCAGUGAGAUAAGAUAAAAUUGUGCAACACACCUGUAAUACUGUAUAAUGUUGUUUUUUGUGCAUGAGCAAGGAACCAUGAUUGAUGAUAUUGGAUCCAAUGUCGAGAACUCCCAUGCUGCAACUACACAAGAAUAGAUGUAUCUCUUCCAUGGUCAUAGUAACCGCUAUAUGGGAAUUGCGAAGUUGAUGUUUGGGCUGGGGCAACAGGAUAAGGACUCACGAUUGCUAUGAGAAACAGUUUCCGCAGUUAACAUGGUUUAUCAUGUAUCUGUUAUUCUGUUUUUCACGAGGAUACUUAAAAGUU